UUUAUUCUAUUUGUGUCAAAUUUAUAUGCUCAAGCACAAUUGCAAUAUUUAGUUAUUUGUGAAAAAAAAGUUUUGGAAAAUGGAUUAGUGAAACGACGAAUAUUAAUCGGAUAAUCUAUCGAUAUAAAAGUUAUAAAACAUAUGUUUUAAUGUAUGAAUUUACUGUGAAAAAUGGAUGAACUAUAUCAUUACAUCAUAUAACCGCUGCCAUUCAAUUAUUUGUGCAACCGUCGUUUUGUAAGUUUUUAUUUUAAGUUAAAAAUAAAAUAAUAUGUAUAAUAAUAUAAAUUAAUAUGAACAUGGAGUUAUAAUUAUGAAAAAUUAGAAAAUGAUUAAUGGAAAAUAUGUAUGAAUUAUUUCAUGAAUAUAUAUUACAAAAAAGUUCAAUAGUUGCACUUAGAAUAGCAAAACGGGUUGGACUAGUUUACACUCAGAUCAUUAUCGAUUAUCGAUAACAGAUCAAAAACAAA